rnacentral:rRNA from 1 species
UCGAACGGGAAACUUUUAUUGAAGCUUCGGCAGAUUUAGAUUGUUUCUAGUGGCGGACGGGUGAGUAACGCGUGGGUAACCUGCCUUGUACAGGGGGAUAACAGUCAGAAAUGACUGCUAAUACCGCAUAAGCGCACAGGACCGCAUGGUCCGGUGUGAAAAACUCCGGUGGUAUAAGAUGGACCCGCGUUGGAUUAGCUAGUUGGUGAGGUAACGGCCCACCAAGGCGACGAUCCAUAGCCGGCCUGAGAGGGUGAACGGCCACAUUGGGACUGAGACACGGCCCAGACUCCUACGGGAGGCAGCAGUGGGGAAUAUUGCACAAUGGGGGAAACCCUGAUGCAGCGACGCCGCGUGAAGGAAGAAGUAUCUCGGUAUGUAAACUUCUAUCAGCAGGGAAGAAAAUGACGGUACCUGACUAAGAAGCCCCGGCUAACUACGUGCCAGCAGCCGCGGUAAUACGUAGGGGGCAAGCGUUAUCCGGAUUUACUGGGUGUAAAGGGAGCGUAGACGGAUGGACAAGUCUGAUGUGAAAGGCUGGGGCUCAACCCCGGGACUGCAUUGGGAACUGCCCGUCUUGAGUGCCGGAGAGGUAAGCGGAAUUCCUAGUGUAGCGGUGAAAUGCGUAGAUAUUAGGAGGAACACCAGUGGCG